rnacentral:rRNA from 1 species
GAUGAACGCUGGCGGCGUGCUUAACACAUGCAAGUCGAACGAUGAAGCUCCAGCUUGCUGGGGUGGAUUAGUGGCGAACGGGUGAGUAACACGUGAGUAACCUGCCCUUGACUCUGGGAUAAGCCUUGGAAACGGGGUCUAAUACCGGAUAGGAGCAUUCACCGCAUGGUGGGUGUUGGAAAGAAUUUCGGUCUUGGAUGGACUCGCGGCCCAUCAGCUUGUUGGUGAGGUAAUGGCUCACCAAGGCGACGACGGGUAGCCGGCCUGAGAGGGUGACCGGCCACACUGGGACUGAGACACGGCCCAGACUCCUACGGGAGGCAGCAGUGGGGAAUAUUGCACAAUGGGCGCAAGCCUGAUGCAGCGACGCCGCGUGGGGGAUGACGGCCUUCGGGUUGUAAACCUCUUUCAGUAGGGAAGAAGCGAAAGUGACGGUACCUGCAGAAAAAGCACCGGCUAACUACGUGCCAGCAGCCGCGGUAAUACGUAGGGUGCGAGCGUUAUCCGGAAUAAUUGGGCGUAAGAGCUCGUAGGCGGUUUGUCGCGUCUGCCGUGAAAGUCCGGGGCUUAACUCCGGAUCUGCGGUGGGUACGGGCAGACUAGAGUGCAGUAGGGGAGACUGGAAUUCCUGGUGUAGCGGUGGAAUGCGCAGAUAUCAGGAGGAACACCGAUGGCGAAGGCAGGUCUCUGGGCUGUAACUGACGCUGAGGAGCGAAAGCAUGGGGAGCGAACAGGAUUAGAUACCCUGGUAGUCCAUGCCGUAAACGUUGGGCACUAGGUGUGGGGGCCAUUCCACGGUUUCCGCGCCGCAGCUAACGCAUUAAGUGCCCCGCCUGGGGAGUACGGCCGCAAGGCUAAAACUCAAAGGAAUUGACGGGGGCCCGCACAAGCGGCGGAGCAUGCGGAUUAAUUCGAUGCAACGCGAAGAACCUUACCAAGGCUUGACAUGUUCUCGUUCGCCGUAGAGAUACGGUUUCCCCUUUGGGGCGGGUUCACAGGUGGUGCAUGGUUGUCGUCAGCUCGUGUCGUGAGAUGUUGGGUUAAGUCCCGCAACGAGCGCAACCCCUGUUCUAUGUUGCCAGCACGUGAUGGUGGGGACUCAUGGGAGACUGCCGGGGUCAACUCGGAGGAAGGUGGGGACGACGUCAAAUCAUCAUGCCCCUUAUGUCUUGGGCUUCACGCAUGCUACAAUGGCCGGUACAAUGGGUUGCGAUACUGUGAGGUGGAGCUAAUCCCAAAAAGCCGGUCUCAGUUCGGAUUGGGGUCUGCAACUCGACCCCAUGAAGUUGGAGUCGCUAGUAAUCGCAGAUCAGCAACGCUGCGGUGAAUACGUUCCCGGGCCU